rnacentral:lncRNA from 1 species
CCCCUCAAUAUUAGCUUAAGAUAAAAAACAAGAUGUCUCACCCAUGCUCUCUUCUCCUGGCCUUGAAUCUGAUCACCAUCACCUUGGCUUUGCUCUCUCAAAGAUCUCAAGCCCAGUUGAGCCCCUCCUUCUACAACUCCACCUGCUCGAACGUGUCGGCGAUCGUUCGCAGCACCGUCCAGCAGGCGCAGACCUCCGACGUCCGCAUUUACGCCAGCCUCACUCGCCUCUUCUUUCACGAUUGCUUCGUCCAAGUAACCACUAUUUCUUUUAUAUAUAUAGAGCCCAGUUGCUAUACUAUCAGUAGUACAGAAACCUCCGUUCUACUAAGUUGCUUUUAAUGAUUGAACUUUCAAAUCGGCGGUCGACUCUAUUAGACUUGAUCUACACUAUCGAAAGUAUUUGAAAACUAAAUUUCAUAAUUUUUGGACAUUAUUUAGCUAUCAAACGAAUAGUCUAAAAAUAAACGAUUAAAAAUAAAAAUUUCAUUAAAAAUGAUGAUAAAAGACUUGAAUUUAAGAUCACAUGUACUGAUCUUAUUCUAUAUAGUGAAGAGAAUUUUCUAUAAAAAUUUUAUCAAAUUGAAUUAUUUUACACUGUAAAAUUUACAAACGCAUCACAUCGGCCAUUAAAAUUAUCAAUUUUGAGACUUUUUGAUCACCAGCCAAAUAAUAUCGAAAAUAUGAAAUUAAUUGGUUUCUAAAUAUUUCUAAUAGUGUAAAUCAUGUCUAAUGGAGCCGCUCGUCGAUUCAGAAGCCGUAUCAUCAAAAUCAACUUGGUAGCGCGGAGGCUUCCGUAUUACCGACAGUACAACAACCUAACUCUCUCUCUCUCUCUCUCUAUAUAUAUAUAUAUAUAUAUAUAUAUAUUCACUUCUUUUUUUAUUCUAAUGUCAAAUCGAGCACGAAUAAGUUGUACAUGAACAAACAUUGAGUUAAUGGCCUAAUUUCCACAUUAACAUGCAUUACACAUUAGUUGGUUAGGAUAGUAUCCAACUCAGGGUUGCGACGAACUUGUUUGAUCACACUCAGGGUUGCGACGGGUCGGUUUUGCUGGUCAAUAGUUCGACGAUUCAGACCGAACAGGAUGCCGUCCCAAAUAAGAACUCGAUUCGAGGUUUCAACGUCGUCGCUGACAUCAAGACGGCCGUGGAAAAUGCUUGCCCAGGAGUUGUCUCCUGCGCCGAUAUUCUCGCUCUCACAGCUGAAGCUUCAGUUAACUUAGUAAGCCAUUUUUUCCAUCUCUCUCUCUCUCUCUCUCUCUCUCUCUCUCUCUCUCUCUCUUCUGAGUCUCUAUAAUGGAUUCUCAAUAUUCGUACAGAUGUAUCGAUACGAAAUUUUAUUUAUCAAAUAUAUUCCUCCGGAGGUGCAUAGCCUACAAAUAUAUUUCUCUGUUAGUUAACCAGUAAAUAUUAUUUUUUCUACAAAAUAUUUUUAAUUAUUUUUUAACCUCAUUUAUCAUUUUUGAUAUUUUUAUUUUAACUUUCUUAAUUUGUUGGAUUUUGCAUUGAUGUAGUAGUCACCAUAUCUCUAUGGAUCUCUGAAAACAAGUGGUAAGAAGGUGACAGGAAGUACUUCUCCUUAAAGUGAGAUAUAAUUCAUUUUCAAAGUUGCAACCACUUUUUAAUGAACUUGGUCUUGUUACUUUAUUAUCUUUUGACUAGUGAACAAGUGAAAAAUUUAUUGUCGGAACUGUGAAGAGAAUUGAUAGUUCUAAUAAACAGGCUAAAUUACAAAAUAAUAAAUUAAUUUUUAUCUUGUACCUUAUUUUCAUCUCAACACUACAACAGAAUUAGGUUAUAGGGACACAUGUUUGGGAUACUUUUAAGUAAAUAUCUUAUUUAUGCUAAAACUUAAAAAAACAUCUACUUAUGCCUAAAUAUAAAGCCCAAUCAAACUAAAAAUAAAAGAUUACUCUACUCAACCCACCACACCCAGUCCAUUUGACCCGAUUACAAACAAAAAAAAAAAAGAAAAAUCAAUUACCAUCUUUUCUUUUCUCUUCACUCAAUCCAUUGAAAUUCUAGACGAAGAGCCUUUCCUGUCGUCCUCCUCCGUCACCAUAGCCAAUGAGAUAGAGUUUCGGCGAUUGCUAAAUGCUUAAAUAAGUGUUGGUAAUUAGCAGCACUCUUUUAGGCUAUAGCGACACUCUUUAACUGUCACUAUAUACCUAGCGACCCCACAUAUAGCAAUACUUUUUAAAAGUGUCGGUAAUUUUAGCUAGCAGCACUUUUUUGACAUGUACCUAUAUUUAAAAGUGUCGGUAUAAACCGUUUUUGUUGUAGUGCAAAGAGAUCCAAUUUUAAAAUAAUUGUUUAAUUCUGCUUUAAAAUGUUAUAGUUUUAGUAAAAUUUACCUCUAUCAACUUAUUUUGGUAAAAUUUUACAAUCAAAUAAACCGCUUCGUUCAUUUUAUUUAGAAAUAAAAUUAGCUAAAAAUAUGAAUCAACUAAAUUCGAACUUGGAAUCUCGGGUACCAACCACCGAGCCCUUUUCCACUUGCGCUAGGGACGGUCGAUAGUGCAGGUGAAAGUUAAUGCAGUUUUUUAUACAAGAAAGUAUAAUUGAGAGACGAACUUAAUUAAGUGCCCAAAAGAUUUCGUAAUCUAGGGUAAUAAAUAAUUAAGUUAAUGAGGAUUAGUUAGGAUAAGGUGAUUUGAACAAGUUCAUUUACUCAACUUCUUAAUGAGGAUUAGUUGGGAGAAGGCAUUUUAAUGAGAGGGUUAGUUACGAUAAGGUGAUUUGAACAAGUUCUUUUAUUACCAUCCCUAGAGCAAGUGACAAAGGGCUUGGUGGUUGGUACCCGAGAUCCAGGUUCGAAUCCUAGUUGAUUCACAUUUCUAGCUAAGUUUAUUUCUAAGUGAAAUAAACGAAGCGGGUAGCGUGCUACCUAUCUCUCAAAAAAAAAAAANAAAAAAAAAAACAAGUUUUUUUAUUUUUUUUUUUUAUUAAAAUGCACCAUCGUAGUGCAAUAGAAUUUUAAUUUAUUGGACGUGUUCUAUAAUAUUCAAAAGACAUACAUAUCUCAAAUCAUAAGUUUUAGUUAUCAUUAAUUUCUUCUGGAUUGAACAAAAACAUUGAAUAUAAACUAUAAAAAAAUAUCAUUCUUUCGUAGCUUAAUUUUUAGACACAAACAAUUGUUUCACAUGAUAUCAUAGCAAAACGUCAUUCGUUUGGUUCGGGGUUAAGAAAAAAGUAACUAUUCCAGGGAUAGAGUUAAGUUCAAGGUUAAAGUGGGGUUAAAAUUUUUUUGUGUUUGGUUGGGGGUUGGAGUUAGUCUAGAAUAAUAAAAAAUAGUGUCUGGUUGGAAUAGGUGGGAUAAGAAGAUAAUGAUUGAUAAAGAAGGAUAAUGAUUGGUUGGAGUAUGUGGGAUAAAAAUGAUAGUGGGUUAUUAUGAAUAGAAAAUAGUGUUUAGUUAGAGUUUGGUGAGGUUAGGUGGGGUUAGCUAACCCGGGAUAAUUUAUUUGAGGUGGGGUUAGCUAACCCCACCCAUUUUUUGGAGUGUUUGAAAAUAAUAUGGGGGUUAAGGGGUUAUUCCACCUCUUAACCCCCAACCAAACAAGGACUAAGAGUUCAAAUCCAAAUUUAGUGCCUCUUAUUUAAUUCAAGUAUAUAUCUUCGUUUGUUUUAUCCAAAAUUUUCACACUAGCACAUAAGAGGAUGAAAAAAGUACCGUCAGCUAUUAAUCUUUUUUAUCUUUUUUUUUUUUCCAUCUCUUUCUUUUCCAUAAUUGACUUGAAAAAGUUAUAACUUUGGUUGCAUUCUUAAAAAGGAGAUUGUUAUCAAAUAAGAUAGAUCUCUACUUAGAUGCUUUAGGCAAAAUCUUCUCAAAUAAGAUAAAUAGUUAUUAUGUAACAAUUAGUAGCAUUCCAUAAGAAAGGAGAUUGUUUCACUCAAGGUGGGGAGGAAGAAAGGAGAUUGUUCCACCGAAGGUGGAGAGAAGUAACGUGAAGUGAUUUUCGACUGUAUAUGCCCAUUUUCUUUAUUUGGUUCAUCAAAAUUAAAUAAGACCGUAAUUCAAUUUUUUCGUAACGUUGUAUUUGAUUUAGCAUUGGUUGGUAAUGAUGAAGUCAAUCGCAGAAGAAAAAGAGAUAGAAAAAAUAAUAAAAUUUGAACAAUUGUUUCCAUAAUGUUGUAUUUCGUUUAGCAUUGUUUGGUAACGGUGAAGUCAAUUACAGAAGGAAAAGAGAUAGAAAAAUAAAAUAAAAUUUGACGAUUGUAACACACACACACUUUUUGGGAAACAAACACAGAAAGUGAAAAGCAUCAGUUUUGAGGCCAUUAAACGAACGGCGGUUAGAAAAAUAGUUUUUACUUGAACUUUAUUUCAAUUAAAAAUUAUUUUCAACCUGAAAAAUAGUUACACGCACAAAUUAACAAGCAGACCCUUGGUGGAGUCGAGCUUGAGCAAGGUUUGUUGAGCAUCUCACUAACUUAGGGCCUCCAUGGUACUGAGGGUUGUCUAAUGCAUGUUAUUAGAUAAAGAUAUGCUCCUGUGUAUUAAGUGGACUAUAUAAAUUAUAUAUUGUAACUGAAUCAUUAGAUUUUACAUCGUGAUGUCUUUUACACAAAUAAUGGUACAUUUUUUUCAUCGCACUUUCUGCCUGUACGUAAUGCAUCGUCCCCUCAACUCCAAAUAGAAACUAAGAUAGUUAAUGAUCCAAGAUAUAAUGUUUGUUUUUUUUUACUCUUUAUGUUGGAGUGCAAAUAAUUUUUCUCACAAUAAUAAUUGUAAUAGGCUGGAGGACCCUCAUGGACUGUGCUACUGGGGAGAAGGGAUAGCACCACUGCAAACAUCACUGCAGCCAACAAUCUCCCUAGCCCCUUUGAUAACCUGACCACUCUUGAACAGAAGUUCGCCGCCGUCGGUCUCAACGACACCGAUCUCGUCACAUUAUCAGGUAUCUGCAUAAUCAUCAAAUAUCAACACUUUCUCAACUCGAAAUGCAAAAGUCAAAUGUUCUAAAACACACACAAAAAACUGGAACAAAUUAUGGUUUGUUUAGCUCCCAACAAAUUAAGCCCUAAAAAUAUGUUUGCUAUAGAGCUCUCUAAAAACAUAUACUACUAUACUACCCGAAAAGUCAUGGGAGUUGAAUCCGGCAUGCAAGGUUUGAACUUGAGUGACAGACCAACUGGUUUAUACAGUGGCUAUUAAUGUAUGUCUUUUUGUAGCUGGUUAAUGUUCUCUUUUAUAUUCACUUUUGUCAAUAACAGGAGCUCACACAUUCGGCCGAGGCCAAUGCCGGUUCGUCACUCCACGGCUCUAUAAUUUCAGCAGCACCGUGAAUACAGACCCGACCCUGAACUCAACCUAUGCGACCACAUUGGAGCAAAACUGCCCCCAGGGCGGGAACGCAUCGGUCCUGAAUAAUCUCGACCCGAUCACGCCGAACACGUUCGACAGCAACUACUACAUAAAUCUGCAGAACCACCAAGGGCUCUUCACAUCUGAUCAGGAGCUCCUGUCGGAUCCCAAUGCGACGACGACCGCCUCGAUCGUCAAUAAUUUUGCCGGCAACCAGAGCGCAUUCUUCGAUAGCUUCGUGCAGUCGAUGAUCAACAUGGGGAAUAUUAGCCCCUUGACAGGGAGCAGUGGGGAGAUCAGAACCAACUGCAGUGUGGUGAAUAGCGGAUCCGGUUUGGAGUUGCAUAUUCGGAUUCAACAUGAUUCUGACAAGGGUUCAGCUGCAGAAUAAAAUAUUAAAAAAUAGGGUAAAUUGCAAAUUUGGUGUGGUGGGUGACAUUUUGAUCCUCAAACUUUAAUUUAUUGUCAUUUCUUGCUCAAACUUUUGGAAUUGGUGCAAUUAAGUUCUAUAACCCAAAUUAGUUGACUAAAUAUUGAUAUAUUACUAAAAUAGAAGUAAUGUAAUAGUGAUGUGAUUGAUAAUACACAAAUAUUUAAAAUGUCACAUUACUUUUACAUCAGCGAUCAAUGCGUCAAUAUUUAGUUAAUUAAAUUAGGUUUUGGAACUUAAUUAUAACAAUUCUGAAAGUACAAGCUAGAAAUUACAACAAAUUAAAGUUUGAGCACUAAAUGUCAUCGGUCUCAUAGUUUGAAGAACAAGCAUGCAAUUUACCGCAAUAAUAUAUAAUGUAUCUGAACUUAAAUCUAAAUAGCUUUUUGUGAUCACAAUAAUAUGAUCAGAGAUAUACUCUCUCUCUCUCUCUCUCUCUUUCUCUCCUCUUUCUGGCUCUCUUUCUCAUCUUACUUUUUCCUCAUCCACAAUGGUACUCAUAACAGUGCUAGAAAAAAGUCUAAAAUGUGGAAGUCACAUAGAUGAUAUGGUACUGUUUUCAACCAAUCACAAUUGAAUCCUAGAGUUCGCCCAUUUUAUCACACGGUGUUAGAAAAAUAGUUUUGGUGUACUAUUUUUCAAAAAGAGAAAAUUUGAUUGGUUGGGAUAUGGGUGACGUAGUGCGACCGCUACAUAGAAGACUUUCUCUAGCAUUAGAGUCCUCGUCCUCCUGUCAAUAAUGUGUGUUAUUUUUGUGUUUGGGUAUUGUGAGUAUUCUGGUCAUAGCGGUGUGCGGCAAAUUCAAUAAAGGCUUGUUGAGGACAUUGUGCUUGGUUACUGCUUUCACAUGGCUCAAGUUUUUCUUCAUAGUGUUUAAUUUUUGUCUAUUUCUCACGGGCUUUCACGUCGAUUAUGACUUUAAUUGUUCUGUCAACUUAGUUGCUUUGAUUUGUUGGUUUUGGGGUUUUAUUUAUUGUUUUCUUUUUAUAUUUUUAUUGUCCAGGGUUGUGCUUAAAAUUUCUCUCCAAAAUUAUGUACUGUCAUAAUCAAGUUCUACUCCAACGAAAUGCCUACGGAUUUUUUUUCUUUAAAACAAAUAUAUAUGAUUUAGAUCAUAAAUAUGUUUUCCCCAGUGAACUGUUUAGAUCACAUAAACCAAAAAAAAACUACUUUGCCUUUUUUUAAAACUGUUUGUUAAGUUCAUUCGAGUUUAACAAGCAUUAAGAAUGGCUUCAUUUCGCUGUUGCAGAUUGUUUAUAAACUUUGUAAUUGUUUCAUGUCAAAAUUAAAUUUCAAGAGUAUUAGCUUUUGUUUUUUUUUGUUUUUAAAAUAAGUUUGCAAACUUACAAUAAUAUAUAAAAAAGAGCAUAUAGAGAAAUCCAUAUCUAGUUUCUUGAAUAAAGUAGAACUUGAACAAUGCAAAAAUAAUAUACACAAAUAAUGGCAAAUAUAUACAACAUCAGCUAUUGUCACGUACGUUACGGGAUUCUUUUUGAAAAUCUUUUUUAAAAAACUAGCGAAAAACGUAAAUUUUUUUUUUUUCUAAACACCUUUAAAGGCACCUCGAGAAUUCGUCAAGAUCUAUCAUAUGGAUAAGGGAUCCCUAAGCGAAUGAAUAGAAUCUCUCUUAUACAUGCAUGACAUUGAACAUUUAUACAAACAUCAACCCCACAACAAGCACACAGACAGAUAUACACAUAAAUAUUUGAAAUUCAUAAUUAGAAAUCAACUAAACCAAUAACUAAAUCCAUAGUUAGCAGUCAUUAAUAAACAAUAAGUAACAAACUAAACUAAGUCACGUGGAUCUGAAACAUAAAACCAAUCUGAAUAAACUGAAACACAUGGUAACCAAUCUGAAACAAUAUAAAACCAAUCAAAAAUGAGUAGAGUAAAAAUAAAAUAAAAUAUUAAGCUUAUAAAGAAUUUUUUUGAGUUAAAAGUUAAAACUGAUAAAAAAAUAAUAUUCUUAAUUUUAAAAUUCUUUGAAUAGAUAAAAUAUUAUAUUAACUUAUAUUCUAUAAAAACCAAUUAAACUCAAAACGUGUAUCUUGGGUAAAUGGAAUUGAUUUAUGAUGUAAACCAACUGGUCAAACGAAGAAGAUAAAACUUCGCAAUCUCUCAUUAAAACCUUAUUUCCAUUAUUAAAAAUAAAAAAUGAUCUUGUUGCAUAUGAUGGCCAUAAAUAUUUUAAAUGAAUAUUUUAAUCAAUCUUUAAUUAUCUCUCUUAGCAUAUAUUUACACAAGUUGGAGUUUGGAGUUAGUAAAACAUGUGUCCAGAGAGACUCUUCUCUUUCCCCACUCAAGAUCUUAAUUUAUUAUGUAUGUUUUCGAAAAAUAUGCUUUGAUCAGAUUCUAUAUUUCAUGAACCACGACAAACGUAACCAAGAAAAUAGAAAAAGACAUAUUCAUCUUCAACAAAAAAUAUUCUAUUCAGACAUAUAAACAUUAGCACAAAAUAUAUUUUAGACGAUGCUUUUUAAACGCUCAAUUCUAGCAUUGUUAAUAUUUGGCAUGCGUCGACACUAUAAUUAAGUAAUAUUUUUAUCAGAUACUGAUAAAAAUUCUCUGACGCUAUAUUAAAGCGUUGGUGUAUUUAUUCCGACACAUUUACUUAACGACUCUUUGCUUGACACUUUUACAAGCGUCGGGAUUAUUCUUACCGACGCUUGUAUGUAGUAUCUCUGGUGUUUGGUUACCCGUGGAUUUCAGCAUCUGAGACUUAUCGACACAUCUGGAGAGUGUCGAGAUAAGUCGCAAUCGUUUUGGCGUGAAAUGGACGCAAAACGGACUGAGUGCAACGUGAGAGCAGAGUUUGAUAUUGAAAUUUGCAAAGUGUGGGUUUCAGUAUUAAGUACCGGUACCAUGCAGGGGAGUACCGGUAUCCAGUGUAUUUUUCGAACAGCUGCUCUCGGGUUGCGAUAAUUGAUGCUGAGUACUGGUAAGGCAUCGGGCUGGUACCGGUACUCUAGCUGGAAUGUUGAGUUGGUGAGGGGUAGAACGGUCUUUUUGUUGGUGGUUAUCCACACCACCAAAUCCCUCGUAUUUAUCCACCAGAGAGAUUAAUUAUCCUUCUCCUCUCUUUCUCUAACUUUGGUUAUAUGCUUGGUGGAGACCACAGCUUGAGCUCGGAUCGACGUCGACGUUGCGCCGGGGAGCUGAUCGAGCGCGUGGACGUCGCGGUUGCGCCGUUAGAGGCCGGACGAGCGCGUAUUUUCCCUUCUUUUGACUUCUCACCGUAGUUGGACUAGUUUUUUGAGGUGGGUUGAAGUUUACAGAAAUCGCCGGAAUACCUCCUAUGUUUUUAUACCGUCGACAUGUAUCAUUUGUGUAUUUUUCUUACUAGUACUCGAAUUCAUGGAUUAGUGUUUAAAUCUGAAUUUGGCGUUAAGCUAGUAGUUUAAUAUUAUAUGUUAGACUUGGAAUUGACUUAGGAGAAAACAUAUAGAUCCUACAUUGUCACUUUCUGAAAAUUACCAGAUUUAGUUUUAGAAGCUAUGGUUUAUUUGUAUCGUCGUUGUUAGUAUGCGAUGGAUACCCAGAUUAGGAUAGGAUGAGUUUACGCUCGUACUGGGAUGCCGAGUUUAUUUUUACAGUAGUGUGUAGACUGUUUCAGACUGUCGGGUGCCGUCGCGGUUGACAGUGGACCCAAAUUUCUAUAUUUACAUCAGAUUGUGCCAAGGGCACGUGAGUUUUGGUUGUUAGACCAGUUAGACCCAGUUGUUUUGAUUAUAGUCCGUGAGAGCCUGAUUGAGCUCGUUAGAGACAUACUUUCAUACUCGGUUGGGUAGCGCCCACGAGUGCCACUCCGGAGUCGGGCUUAAUGCGUUUGCGUUGAUGUCGUAGUGUCCUGGUUGGACUUGGUCUCCACCAACAAUCCAGCGUGGUGGUGGUUGGUGUAGUUUCGACAGAUGGGACGGUUGUGUUCACAGUCCCUAAUGAGAUUGGGUCAGAGAUUGCAUCUUGCUUAUAUCUACAGAUAACUAAUGUUGGUUAGCGACAGUAUAGUGGCAUGUAGCCGUAGAGUUUUUUCAGCUUUCUUUACUAUUCUUGAGCAUACUUUCUGUAGACUGUGGGUGAGCCGUUGAGGUCGGCAGUGGUACCCACUGAGGGCUACUUUUUUUUGGAGUAGUUCUCACACCCAGUUGUUGACCCUUUUUUGCAGAGCCUUCGUCCGCGGCUGCUGCUGUUCCUGAUUUGGAUCGUGGAAAGGGAGUCGCGAGCUAAAUCCCUUCUAGUCUUGUUGCUGUUCUAGAGGAGUACCAGCUAUAGAUAGUUUUGAUUUUUAGUUCAUGUAGAUACUGAUGUUAGUUAGUCGCUGGAGCGAGUGAUGUCUGUAUCUUGGAGAUUAUGUAUGUAUAGUGAACCUGAUAUUUAUUUAUAUAUGUGUACAGUUCUGUUAGCAGCUCUAUACUACUAGUUGUAGUUUUGUAUGAUUACAGGUAUAGAUACAGCUAUCGCUUUAUAUACAGAGAAAAUUCUUUUGUAUACGGCGGGUCUAUUGGCGUGCCCGAAAAAAUGUGGUAAUCCGGGAUGUGACAUUUAAAGUAUCGCUAAUUAUUGUUUAAACUGCCCUUAAGUGCAAGAUUUGUUGUAGUGAAAUAUUUUAUGUAGUAUAUUUUUCUUAUUUUAUUUACGGAGUUUAUAAUAUUUAGUAAAUGAGGAAUUUAAUUAAAUGUCUAAAUUGAAAUAUCAUACUUACCCGUCAAAGUUUUUUUUGAGAAAAAGAAAAUUUUAUAUGUGAAUAUAUUAUCUAACCAAAUAAUGAAUAACACGGCCUUUUUGAAAAUAAAUAUCAGUCUCUCAAAUAAUUCCAAUCAUGAAAGAAAAUGCACAAAUCGAAGGAGUUAUUGCGUGCCCGGGGAACGAGACAUCCGGGGCGUGACAUAACCCUUCUUUGGAUGUCCGAAUAAAUUAUUUAGUGAUAACUUACACUACAACAGAAUUAGAUUAUAGAGACACAUUUUUGAGACACUUUUAUAUAAGUGUCCCAUUUAUACUAAAACUUUUAAAAAAGUCAACUAAGGCCUAAAUAUAAAAUCCAAUCCAACAAAAAAUAAAAAAGUUAUUCUGCUCAACCCAUCCCACCUAGCCCAUUUGGCCUAAUUAUAAAAUAGAAAAGAAAAAGAAAAAAAAAUCGAUCACCAUCUCCCCUUCUCUCCUCACUCAAUUCACUGAAAUCCUAAACGAAGACCCUUCGCUCUCCUCCUCCUCUGCCACCGCAGCCAACGAGGUAGAGUUCCGGCUGUUGCUAAAUACUUAAAUAAGUGUUCGUAAAUUAGCAGCAUUCUUUUUAGAUUAUACCAACACUCUUAAACUAUCACUAUAUACCUAUCAUCUCCACAUAUAACAAUAUUUUUUAAAGUGUCGGUAAUUUAGCCAGCAACACUUUUUUUGAUCUAUACCGACAUUUAAAAGUGUCGCUAUACAUCAUUUUUAUUGUAGUGUUAUUUGGAAUGAGAAUUUUCUUGUGUGAUUGAAGAUGUUCGAUUUUUGCUAUUUAACUGUUUUGACAUUUGUAAUUUGAUAAUAUAACAUAUUUCAUCUAUAAAGUAACUUUUCUUAUUCUGAAAAAAUGACUAAAAUGCUAGAUAUAUGAUAUUCCAUUUAGACAUUUUAUCAUACGUCUCAUCUGUCUUAUAAAUAAAUCAAAGAUUACCGAAAAAAUGAGAAUUAUUGUUUAUGAUUGCUAGUUACGAGUAUAAUCUUAAAAGAUCUUUAAUGUGCAUGAUCUGGUUAAACCGGUGUAAUCCGAAUAGGGGGUAAGUCAUAUUAUUUAAAAAAUAUUAAUGAUUUAAUGACUAAAUAUAAUAUGCCUAUGUACACAAUUGAUUAUACUUCUCAUCUAUAAAAUAUUACAAACUUCAUUAGUAUUGCGCUGAAUAAGAUGUUCAUAAAUCCAAAUAGACUCAAAGUCAAAAUUAAUCCUGAUUUCCAUUACUUUCUUGUACCUGUGGGUUUUAUAAAGAAAAUCAAGACAAAUUUAAAAUACAUAAAUAUUUUAUUCUGUAUAUAUUUACAUAAAUAUUUUAUUCUGUAUAUAUUUGAAUUUUAUUUUAUUUACAUUAAAUAGGUGUAAGUGCUAACUAACUAUUUCAAAAGCAUGAUAGCACUCAUUGGUUUCCUUUUUGAGAGAUAGAUAGCACGCUACCCGCUUCGUUUAUUUCAUUUAGAAAUAAACUUAGCUGGAAAUGUGAAUCAAUUAGGAUUCGAAUUUGGGUCUCGGGUACCAACCACCAAACCCUUUGCCACUUGCUGUAGGGACGGUCGGUGAUAGUGCUCAUUGGUUUCAAUCUGACUCAACCCACCUAGAUGUUAGGUUUAUUGUUUGGGCUCAUCCAACUCAACUUAUUGGGCUCAUCCAACUCAACUUAUUACUCUCCUAGCCCUAUUGUCUAUAAUAACUAUAAAAUUCAUACUCUGUAAUGAAUUAGUUUACUUAAAUUCAUUUGAAUUUAUAUUCAAAUUCUGGAGGAAAGAGAGAAAAGGUUAUUUUGAGAUUCAAACACCUUCAAAUGAAACAAAAAACACUAUUUUAACGGUCCGGCAGUACUGAAAGCGUGGUGAAGUCCAUUUUCACAUUUGGCUCAUCGAAAGCUCAAAAAAGCACGAAAAUAAAAACGAGGUCAAAAUUGAAAAAUUAUUUUUUAAAAAAAGAUUAAAUAUUUUAUGUACCAUUUCACGGGAAAUUGAAUAGGGAGGUACCUUUAUGCUAAAUACACGUACUGCUGAGGGCUUAGAACAAAAUUUUGAAAAUGGAGGGACUUUGGAGCAUUUUUGCCAAACCCUACAUAUUGGUUCGGGUAUAAGUAAGAACUAGCUUAUACCAGAGAUAGGUACAAAUUUAGAUAUAAGCGAGAACCAAACCAAUUUUGUGUUUGGAUGAAAAUUUGGUUGUUCACGGGAAUAAGAAAAAUAGCGGUUGGAUAGAUAAGAUGGAAUAAGAAAAAUAGUUGAUGGUUAUAAAUAGAAAAUAAUGAUAUUACCCCUCAUUAUAUUUGAAUUUNGGAGGAGGAAACCCUUGGGAGGUCGAAGGCGUGGGCCUGGGGUGGCACCGAGGGGAAAGGAGAUUGGGUCAAGUGGCUUAGUGGGAGAGAGAGAGAGAGAGAGAGAGAGAGAGAGGCUUGGGAGACUGUUGGCCGAUUUUCGACGGUCGCGGGAUGGUCGCCGGUGGUUGGGAUCGACGACGAUGUAGCAGAGGAGAGUCCUUGUGACAGCUGAUGGGUUGAGAGGGAGAGGGGAUUGAAUAGGGUUGAUGGAAACCCUAAGAGCCAGUUUGGAUUGGGUACAAGAUGGGGUAUAAGGUCCUUAUACCCCAUCUUGACCUUAUACCCCAUCUUGUACCCGAACACAAUUUGGGCUAGGUCGGAACUAUAUUUCCCACCUUAGCGCUAAGGUGGGAAAUAUAGUUCCGACCUAGCCCAAAUUGUGUUCGGGUACAAGAUGGGGUAUAAGGUCAAGAUGGGGUAUAAGGACCUUAUACCCCAUCUUGUACCCAAUCCAAACUGGCUCUUAGGGUUUCCAUCAACCCUAUUCAAUCCCCUCUCCCUCUCAACCCAUCAGCUGUCACAAGGACUCUCCUCUGCUACAUCGUCGUCGAUCCCAACCACCGGCGACCAUCCCGCGACCGUCGAAAAUCGGCCAACAGUCUCCCAAGCCUCUCUCUCUCUCUCUCUCUCUCUCUCUCUCCCACUAAGCCACUUGACCCAAUCUCCUUUCCCCUCGGUGCCACCCCAGGCCCACGCCUUCGACCUCCCAAGGGUUUCCUCCUCCGGCAGCCCGAGCGCGGCCAGGCCCUCCCCGAGCAAAGGAUCAAAGUUUGAUCCUGUUUGGAGUGGUUUCGGGCCAUACCUCUGUUUGACCGCCGCUAUCGCUUCCUACCUUUGCUGUCGACCCGGAAGCACCCUCCGGAGUCGCCCUAACACUCCCGAACUUCUCCUAUGGCCAAAAAUCUAUGUUCCGGCCUCGGGGCUUCUUGGUUGGUCACAACAUCAAAAGCGCCGCCACCUAUGCCUCCCGCCGCCGGCAGUUGCCUCCCCUAACUCCUUCCUAACUGCCACUAUAUUCAUCAACCGGCGCAUGUGCCCCCUGGCCGUCGAAGCUCGGGAAGAAGAAGAUGCUAUCUUGGUUGACCCGAGCUAGGGUUUUCUUUUGGCCGACUUCAUUUUCUCGGCCAUCCCUGAUACCACCGACUCCACGGAAGGUGAGCACGAUCCUCCUAAAGUGCUUGGACAUCCGUGCUCACAUUCAUUGUAGUCCAAGAGGUCUCGAUUUGUGGAUCCUGCUAUGACGCUCCCAAAGACCUUGAAAACUACAAUUCAUGUAACCCUGGUGCACUUCUCAGCCUUCGUUUGCACUUCAAACAAUGAGCUCGGGCUUUGGUACGUCGAGACCUGUCAGCCAACUAAAAGAUACGACGACCCAGAGAUCUAAAAAGUAAAAACACACCUAGAGGGGGGUGAAUAAGUGUAAAUAAUAAAAUAACCAACUGGAUGCAAUAUAAACCAUAUGUGGAAAAAAUAAAGCCAACAAACCGAGGUUUUUACAUAGAAAACUCCAAGUGGAGUAAAAAACUACAUGACUGAUCACACAAAAAAUCCACUAAGGAAAAAUAGAGUAUAAGGUGAUUUACCGAAACCUUGACUCAACCUUUACCAUAGACUUGAAGUAGAUUUUCUUUGCUGGUCCCUAAUCGAUUGAACUCCUUCAAUCAAUGACGUUACUACUCCUCGCAGCAUCAAAGCCUCGAAUCCACGAGCGUUCACUGAAUCCUCGACCUCACACAAGUCCAUGCACAACUUCUCAUUUCGGAGCAAGUAGAACAAUAGUUAGUGGUGAUUUUCAUGCUUAGAAAUUCAUAAGAUAUGAGGGAAAACCUUAUAAGAAUAAUCAAUUUGAUUCUUAAUAGAAUAUCUGGAUUAAAGCUCCAAAAAUCAAAUUGAUGAGACAAAAAAAGAAACUUGUUCUCGAAAGAUGAAAAAAAAAAGCACCAAAACAAGUUUCUAUGGUUUCCGAGAGGUAUUCUAUCUUAGCUACGUUCCGGAGACACUCCCUAUUUAGAUGCUUAGAAUCAUAUUAGAAUUGAAAAUACGUUUUCGAAAAAUUCAUGAUGGGUUCAGAGUCCGGACCCUUCAUCAAUGUCUGGACUUUAAUACUUUCAAAGCAUCAAAGUCCAAAUCUUCCCCUCAAAGUCCAACCCUGCGUUAUAGCCAAGAAGGCUUACGAGGUCUAGACCCCGCCUUAAAGUCCGGACCCUGAAACUUGAAAAACUUCAGUUUUGUUCCGUAAUAAGUUUCAGACCUAUUCUAAUAUUUUUCAAACACUUAGAAAUAAUGCGUAAAUCAUCAUUAAUAUGUAAUCAUACCUCGGAGGCGUGAGCUCCAUAAACGAGUUUUUGAUCUUGAUGUCUUCUUCUUCAACCCUUCAAGACUCUAUAUGACUCCACGAAAUACGCCAACAUAAAAUCCGCAAUACCAACACUGCUGGUUGGUUUUCAAAGUGCACGAUUUUCGGUAACGAGUCCAAACCCUAACUUUUUAUAUAAAUUAAUGCUAUUAGAUUAAUGCAACUUUAGAGGUUUUUGUGCAAAUUGGUCAUGUGGGUUACUUCGAGUAGCGUGAACCCACAAUAUUUGACUUCUGGACUGAUCGUCCUAAGUCCGAUGAUCUGUAUGAAGCAUAUUUAGGGUUUUGGAGCAUUUAUCGGCAAAAACAAGAUCAUGGUUUCAGUUCAGGUUUUGCAUUUAAUCAACGUGAAUCCCUGGUAUUUUUCGCUGUGCCUUGUUGGUUGGUUGCCCUUGCUGUCUCAUGUGUCAGGAGACAACGAGUGGGCGGCGGAAGGUUCCGGAACCGAAAUUGGCAUUUUCAAAAACCCGAUACGGCUUAGUUUUCAUUAAACGCACUUGUUAGCGUAGUGUUCAUGUGUUUGCUGCCUAGACACCCAAAUCAGUACGUUUUAGGGCACUGGGUGAUGUACCAUAUGGAUUGGUACUUUAUAGGGCACUUUGUAGGUUUUGGAAGUGUUACAAUGAGUUUCCAAGAAAUUCCAGCGGGUUUUGGGAAUCGGUAAAAAGAACUGGUUGCUUGAUGGCUUCGAGAAUGUGAGAUUAGUGACUUUGGAUCACUUAUUAGGGUUUGUCCUAUUUAGUGGAUUAGUUUGUGACACCAUGGAUCUUUUGAAGGUACAGUCGAUGGUAAGGAGCACCUUAGGAGUUAGGUGCCUCGUAUGAUUCAGAUGGAUGCUCGAUCCAAAGUCGGUAUAGUGGUGCUAGUUUAGUGACAUUCUUUUUCUUUCUCUUUAUACUUGAUUACACACAUUGCAUGUUGAGCACGUGAUUACCACUUGACUUCACUUCUCCUUGCUCUAUUUUUAUAUAUUUAUCAUGACUUAGCAAUAGAGCAGUAUUUCAUUGGAUGUCAUUACAUGACUUGAUACAUAUAUAAUUGACCUGCUUAGUCGGUAUGAUGUGAGAUCUAUGAGAUUGGAUGACCUAAUUAGUCGUUGUAUUCCUUUUGGAUCCUGUCUCGGUUAGUUGCCUAUGGUUGGUUAUUGAUCAUAUUGCAUCCAUUAACAUAGCUCAUGUGCAUUUCACUUUGGCCGCCGCAAUAGUAUUCUCUUUCGAAAAAAUGGUCGUACUUUCAACCCAUAAACCCUAUAUAUACGACCUACUACUAGGACCAUAUGCCAAAUAUGGCAGGACGUGGCAUUGCCUAAGGGUAUCAGACCAACAUGGCAAGUGAUUGGGUAUUCUAGGACUUUUCAUUCGAUUGAUGCAUACUCUUUUUGUUUACAGUAGCGGUAGUUGUACACUCGUUAUUCAUUUCCUUUCAGUUCAUAUUUGCUACUGUAUUCAUCAUAGUUUCAUACCAUGCUAUACUAUUUUUCGUUUGCCCAUGAGUACAGCUUGCUAUUGUCGGCUUAUGGUACCUAUUGAAAAACCUCAAGUUGGUUUAUCAACCCAUGUUUUUAUAGGUGACACAGGCAAUGAUAGUCGGAACGGUGCAUGAGGUUCAUGUAGCUAGUGAGCCUAGUGGUCCUGUGGAUUGAUCAUUUUCUUGCUACGGUUUAUGAUUCUUUGUUAUCCCAGUUAUUCAUUAAUAAUUCAGAUACUGUGGUGAUUCAGUUUAUAUUUGAAUGGUUAUUUUGAAGUAAUAAACUGUGGAUUUAUGCUUAGGUGCAUGACAGGGCAUGCAUCAUUUUCACUAAGGACUGCUUAGUUGUAUGUGCAUUUAGCCUGUUUUGAAUGUUGGGUGGUAAGUGGAUUUGUUUGGUUGUGGAACGUAACAGGUAGAUAUGCCGUGCAAAUAUAGAGCAGACUCUAUCCGUUGGGAUAUAGAAAUUUCUGUAUUUGUGAAGGGUCUGUCCACCCCGUGGUAUAUAAGGUUGUGUUUUUUUUAAAGAAAGAUGGACAUUUUUUCAUUGGCGUUACUUUCCAAGUUUAACCUUUUUCUGAAAAAGCUUUACAGAAACGUCCCCGGAGCGCGACAUUGUCACAGGGCAAGGAGUUGGACCUAUUUUAGCCAAUAAUAAAUAGGCAACAAGCCCCCGCAAUACUCUAUUAAUGCUACUUGCAAGAAUCAAAUCUGUGCCACUGGCUCUGAUAUCGCUUGUGAAUCAUAAGCACUAACCACAAUUUCGAAAGCACGUGUGACAGGAAGGACACAUCCAUCGCACUUAAGAGCUCAACUAUAGCGCUUACGAAUUUCGACCUGACUUAAUCCAUCUGAAUGCUAGAUCUAUUAUUAGGUCUUUUGCCGCUAGAUCUAUUAUGGACCACAACCUCACACAAUUUAUUGGGCCCAUCCAACUCAAAUUUCUAAUCUUCUAGGCCUGUUGUUACGGUGCAGAAAGUUGAAUCUAUUUUAGACAAUAAUAAGUACGUAACCAACAACAGAACAGAGACUGGUGGGUCCCUACUAGAAUUAUUUAGCAUGUGGUACAGGCACUUAUUGACAUGCCUAGCUAAUUUAAUAGCUGGUCCCCAUCUAAAUGGUUUGGGGCCAAAUCAUGUGCCUUUCAAACAACAGGAGAAGUAAAAAAUGGGUUAUUAUUGAAUUGAUUAAUUAAAACCUAAUCCAUCAGUUUAAUUAUUUUCUUAAUUCUAGAAUAUUAUGUCGAAAUGAGUCAUAAGUUGUUACCACAAACUUCUUAUUUAAUAGAUCUCCUUCUACAAAACUAGAACCAGUAUAUGAAAUAUUCCUUUCAAACCAAGAUUUAUUGAUCUAUAUAUAUUUUUAGGUAGAAGAAAUGUACGGAAAUUAGCCACCCUCAACUAUUAGCAAUUCUGUAAAAGAGCCCUCAACUAUUUUUUUGAUAUAGAAAUUCCUCAACUUCUAUUUUUUAUUUGAAUUUUUAUACUUAGUUAAUAAAAGAUUUUGUCAAAUCUAAUGAUUUUUUUAGUUAUUAACCAUUAGCUGGUCUAGUUUUAUUUAUUAAAAAGUGAAUUUAAUGACUCAAAUAUGCAUAUUAAUUAUGCUUACUUUUAAUAAACUUGAAAAAAUUCUAAUAUUUUGACUAAAUUAUUUAAUUUUAAAAAAUAAAGGCUAAGAACAUUUCAAUAAAAGAAAAUAAAAUUGAGGGGGCAAUUCCAAGAUGGCUUAUAAUUGAGGGCUCUACGCUAAUUUUUAUGAUAAUUUCGAGACCUAAAAUGUAUUCUUCAAGCCUGAAAUUACAAGUGAUUAAAAUUAAUGACUAAAGUGCCGCACGUCUCACAGUUCGAGUCAGAAAUUAUAAUUAAUUAAAAUUAAGGACUAAAGUAUCGCGCACCUCAUAGUUUGAGGAUCAGAAAUGUUAAUUAGCUGAACUUUUUUUUUUAUAGGGGCAAUUGCUUAUUUAUUCCUAAAAAAUUUCAAACUUUUCUAUUUACUCCUCUUAAUUAAUAUAAAAAAUAUUCUUUUAACGUUUUAAGCUAUUUUAAAUAUGCCUUACAGUUAGAUUCUACAAGUAAACUAAUAGAAACAGUCAUUAUUUUUAUAAAAUUACUAUUUUGACCAUUCAAAUAUAUCCUUAUAUCGUCACCAACUUUUCUUAUGUGCCCUUAGGUACUGUAAUUUUUUGUCAACUCUGAUAGAAAUUUAAUCCGAAUUUAAUGUAAUAAUAUAAUUUAAUAGGUACUAAUAGUAAAAUUAUUUUUAAAUAACGGAGAUAUAUGUGGUAUAUAUAUUUAAAAUAAACAUAUAUAUAGAAAUACAUAAAAUAUUUUAAAAAUUUUUAGACGUAUAAAGAUUGUACCUUUUUUAAAGUAAUUUUUUGAAUGUCGGAAUUAAAUACUCCUUUCAAACAGGAGAUUAAUCAUAUCUACAUUUUUAUUUGACAAAAAAACAAAAAACACAACCGUAGAAAAUUCAUUGGUGGAAGAGUCAUCCCAACAUGCGACGACACAUGUUGCGACUUUUUUUUUUUUUUUUCCACAUGAUGUGAUGACUCAACUUUUUGUCCCUUUUUUUAAAAAAAAGUAAUCCAACCUUAUCUCGAAUUAUUUUAGAUCCAAAGCCGCUGAAGCCGGCCGGCCUUUUCAUAGUAUUAAAAAGAAAAAACCAAGAGCUGUCAGACUAAAAUAUAGAAUAGUUUGCUUUCGGCCGUAUUCAGAUAAUUUGGAUUUGAUAAAAAUUCGGUACAGAUAUAAUAAAUAUAAAAUUUAUUUUUAAUUUUUAAAUUUGUUGAAAAAUUUGGCUUAAAAAACGGAUUCGAUAAUUAUUCGGAUAUGUGAUUUGUAUGAAAAUUGUACGUUCAUCAAUUAAAAAUUCGGAAUAAAAAAUUCGCCUAUUAAAUUUGAAUUUUUUUUCUAGAUUUAUACUACUAUCGUAAACAGUUAUAAUUCUUAAAAAUAAAAAGCUAUAAAAUAAAGUAGAUUAAUCCAUUAAUAAUUGUAAAAUAUAUAUAUAAAUAUUUUUUUUGGGAGGCGAAUGAAGAGAGAACUCAUAUUUAAAUAUAAAAUAUAAGAUAAUCUAUAUUUAAACAUAAAAAUUAUAAGUUUUUUAUUCAGAUUUUUAAUAAUUCGCGAAUUAUUCGGCUGGCCCAAAAAUUCGCGAAUAAUUUUCUUUCUUUGGAAAAAAUUCGUAGACAAACCGUUUAAUUCGGAUCUUCAAUAAUUCGCGAAUAAUUCACAAAUUAAAUAACAAAGCUUUUAGCUACCAUAUUAUCAUGUCAGGUGUUAAUCUGUCUCUCGAUUGGAGCUAAAAUGUAGCACGUACUGGUAUAUUUGCGACGCCCCACUUCUAAGGGGUUAUCUAUUUUAGGAUCCUAACAAAUUUAACUCUUUUAAUCUCUUGGUCCUAACCACCACCCAAAAUACUAUAAUCGGGUUAAAAGUUUUUAGCCCUAUUAUAUUCUAUAUAUAAGAUUAUUUGGGGUCUUACACUCUCCCACCUUUUAAGCCUUAACGUUCCUGUCAGGUUCAAACUCACAAGUAUUAGACGAUAUAAAACUCGUCUCGUUAGUCUUAACCGACCUUGUGGGGAAGCCGCACUCUGCCUACAGCAAUCGUCAGCAUAAGAGUCUCGCUCUCUCUGCUGUUUAAUCUGGCUCAAUUGAGAUUCAUUUUACACUUUCGGAUAGUAAUUUUCUUUGAUACCAACUGUGACGUCCCACUUCCCAGAGGAUUACUUAUCAUAGCACUACUCUAGUCCUAGCACGUUUAAUUUUCUUACUCUCUUGGAUCUAUCUGCCUCCCAAAAUGCUCUAGUCGGGUUAAGAGUUUUUAACCCUAUUAUAUCUUAUAUAUAGGACUAUCUGGUGUCUCAUAAUUUUUAUGUCGUACAUCUUUGCUUCCCGGUUAGAGCUUUCACCCACCACGCCGUAGGGCGUUGGAAGCUCAGAUAUAGCAAUCGACGAAAUAGAUAUGUAGUAUCAAUUUUGUCCAACUUCUAAUUAACCCAGCUUCUCCCGUGAUAAAAGUUCUACUAAAAAUGGCCAUGUUUGUUAACACGGUGAGUAAAAAUACUAGUUUUAUAUUAUGAAAGUCCUAAAGAAUUUUAAAAAAAAAUUGUUAUUUAUAGGAUUGUACAUCUAACACACUUAGAUUCAAAGGUUCACCAAACUUUUUUGAGAUUUUACUAAAAGUAAAUAAAUAUAUUAUAAGACAAGUGAUUAGAUCCACCACAAAAAGGAUGGAUGUAAACUUUACACCUAUGUUAUAGUUGUACCGAUAGUAUUAUUCAAAAUUUUAGAAUAGUGCUUUUAGUCAUUGUAAUACAAAACGUACUACAAUAGAAUUAGAUUAUAGGGACACAUUUUUAAGACACAUUUAUGUAAGUGUCCCAUCUAUUCCAGAACUUUUUCAAAAAUCUAUUAAGGCCUAAAUAUAAAGCUCAAUUCAAUAAAAAAUAAAAAAAUUUUCUACUCAAUCAACCCCACCCAGCCCACUUGGCUAGAUUAAAAAAAAAAAAAAAAAAAAAAUUGAUCACCAUCUCCUCUUUUCCUCUUCUGCCGCCUCAGCCGACGAGGUAGGGUUCCGGCGGCUAGAGUUCGGUCGCGAGGAUCUUGCAAGGUACGUAGAGGGCUACGGUCAUCACGUGUCCCUCCGCCAUAGGUCGCUAGAGGACUGGACGCCAAACAUUAAUGCAGCCCCACAUAUAGCGACCCCACUGUUACACCUGUCAAGUAGUAAAGGAGGAUUAGGAGCAGUAGUAGGAGGUUUAGCUAGAAUAAUGAGAGGAGAGGAGGCUUAGCUUUUCUCUGCUUCAGGUCUCCGGUUGGGGGAAGCGUCGGCCGUUAGCUUGGGAGUGUGGAGAGCGUCGGUGGGGUGAAGGUCGCCGGUGGAGGAGAAAAGGGGUGAGAGAAGCGGGGAGCGAAGAGGUUGAUCCGAGCAAGCCGACAAAGGACUUAGAGCGUUUGACGAGUCGACUCAAGUUCCAGACGGUUCUGGCGGAUUCGGGCGUAUGGCGGAUUCGGGCACAAGGAUGGGAGCGACUGAUCCAAUAUGUCUUGGGAGCGGGCCGAGGAAUAAGCCCAUGUGGGAAUUUGGGCAGCAGAUAGUAGGUUUAGGGAGUUCAAUUAGAAUUAGGGUUUGCUUUAGGUGAAUAAAAAGGGCAGCGUGUAACAGAAGGUUUUUUUGAUGCGAAUUAAUGAAAUUUUCUUCUUCCUCAUCAACUCCUAAUUUCUCUUAAUCUUUCUUCUUCUUCUUAAUUUCCCCAUCCAUCUCCUUCCCUCUGUCUUCCCCCCUCUAUUCUCUCUUCAUCUUCUUUAUCGGAAUAGCUCAAUUCUGAUCUGAUUAAUCCGAGUCAGGCAGUUACGGGAACCAUCAUCCUCGACGCCGUCCUUCGUCUCAGCGAGAUUUCAUCAUCGACGGGUUGCGCCGAGUCAGGUAUGUAACAAUUGGUAUCAGAGCGGUACGAUCUCAGGGCGUUGUGUGGUGAAUUCGCUUCCUAACUCCAAUCAAGUAUUGUCGAGUUUAAUAGCGAGGGGAUUUCUGCGCUGCCAAAUCUGAUACGAGAUCGGGUUUGGACAAAAGAAACCACCACAGUAACAUCCCUGAACUGUAUCACGCUCUGACCGCUUUUAAUCAUCCUCGGAUAUUAGCAAGAUUGGGGGCAAACGAGGCAACAAGUUUCGAUUUAACCCAAAAGAAUAUCUGGAUGAGAUAGAGAUGGCUGAGGGGACUAGGUUGAGAGACCUGAGUGAUCAUAUACGUACGCUAGAAGAGCAGUUCCAAAAAUUGGGAGCUGAGCAUCAAGCCGAGAUUGAGGUAAUCAACCAUCAGAUUGCCGAAGUCAAGGAGUCCGGGCAGAGGCAAUAUGAAGCGAUACAGGUCGAGGCAAAUAAAAGGCACGAGGAGCUGCUCAAGCUGUUCGCAGCUCAGCCACCUCCACUCAAGAACCAGGCACCGGUAAGCCCACUGGAAGGGAAGCCUCCACAUGCGGCAACCCUGGGAUCAGUAGAACACCAUUAAUUACCAGAGCAGAUAAAGGCAAAGGGAUUCUACCAACGCCACCAAGACAAACAGAGGAGGAAGAGAGUCAGAGCUCACCAUGGGUCAACAAGCAUAAUCAUUAUCAGUUACCUUACUCGAAGCUGGAUUUCCCCUUUUUUAACGGAGACGACCCUCGAAGUUGGAUCGAGAAUUGCGAGCAAUAUUUUGAAUUAUAUCAAAUACCCCAGCAUCAGUGGUUAAGUGUGGCAACCCUACACUUGAUCGGCAAGGCAAGGACAUGGAAACAAGGGUAUUUUAUCAACAAACAACUCGUUUCUUGGGACGAGUUCACUAAGGCCAUAUGUAGAAAAUUUUCGCAAGCGGGCGAGAGGUAUUUAAUUCGAGAAUUUAGUAACUUGAAGCAUACGGGGACUUGUGAAAAGUACCAAGAAAGGUUCGAGGAGUUGAGGUUCCAACUGCUCCAUUACAAUCCUCAUUUAUCGGAAGAAUAUUUUAUUGCUUGCUAUAUUAAUGGACUGAAGAAGAGUUAGUUCCGUUUCUCGACAUUGCUCACCCGAACACACUAGAGGAAGCAUAUGAGCAACCGCAGUUACAUGAGAAGGCCAUUGCUGUGAUCAAUCGGAAGAAUAGAUAUAUUCCCAAGACCUAUCAAUCCAACUCGCUGUAUAAGAGUUCGGAGGGGAGCAAGUAGCCAACCCAAAGUCAGAACAAGACUCCGGUAAAUCCCUAUCCGAUCAACAAAUAAUUAAUUGAACAACGUCGAGCCGCUGGGUUAUGCUUUCGGUGCGGCGACAAAUACCAUCCGGGACACGUGUGUUCCAACAAAUCGUUAAACAUCCUACAAGCUACUAACAAUAUUAUGGAGGUUUAUGAUGAAGAAUGUUUACAAACAGGACAAAGCGAAGGGGCAGCCAAUGGAAGAGAAGGCAAGGAAACUGAAAUCAUACCUGGGGAAGAGGAGCAGCAGGAAAUAGAGGUAUCAGUGCGUGCCUUAAGUGGAGAAAUACCCCAAGAGACCAUUAAGAUAAGGGGUGAAACCAACAAUCGGACUCUUACCAUCUUGAUAGACACAGGAAGCACUCACAGUUUCAUCGACCUGCUAGCAGCCCAGUGUAACGCACUGGACCUUGCAAAUUGUAGGGUUCGAGUGAUUGAGUGUAUUCUGAACUUUUCCAGACUUUCUGGUAGGUCGUUGACUGUGUUCCGACCUAUGGUUCGAGUCCCGAGAAUUGUGGUUUAAAACCUUGCAUCAAAAUCUAAAAAGUUGGAUUUUUGGUCAGCUCUCGGAUAGCCUUCAGCAGGCCGUGUACCGGUACGGGUUCGCUUGCUGUACCGGUACGGGUUCGCUUGCUGUACCGGUACGAGGUUGAUGGCUGUACCGGUACGGGCCCGCGUACCGGUAAACAGGCAGUUUUUCGGCCAAACCCGAGGCUCGGGUUUGCGUUUUCGUGGGUUGUGUACCGGUACACAAACCGGUGUACCGGUACGUAGUGCAGUUUGGGGCUGUUUCGUGGAGGGGUGUUUUUGCAAUUGUUACAACACCUUUAUAUACCACCCCAGCCCCCUUGGCUGCUCUCCUUGAGCUCCAAACAGAGAGAAACAAGGUGAGUCUUCCCCUCUUGGUUUGAUCUCCAUUUUUUGGUGAUUUUUAUGGGUUUUGAUCUUUUUCCCUUCUCUCCUUCUUGCUUUUGUGGGUUUUUUCACCAUUGGAGAAGCUUGGGAUCUUGGUUGGAGCUUGUUUGGAGAUCAACCUUCAACCCUAGAGGACUUGGAGCUUGGUUUUGAGCAUCUUGUGAGGUUAGUAAACUUAAUCUCCCAUUUGGAUUAAGUUUUGAAGGUUUCUUUUGAAUGAAACCCUAGAUUUUGGAUUCUAGGGCUAGAAUUGGGGAUUUUUGAUUUGUAGCUUCUAGAACCAAAUUGAUUGGUUUAGAACUUUGAUUUAGGUUGGAUUUGAAGGAAUCUAACUCCCUUUUGGAGUUCGUGGGGGAUUCCUUAGCGUUCGGUGAGUUUUCUCCAACCUAGCUAGAGAAGCUUAAUGUUUGAGCUUAGCUUUGUUCGUAAGCCUUGUUUGACACUUGUUCCUACAUCCCUAGGGUACUAGGAGACUAGAAGACACCCUCGUUGGAGCAAACGAGGAGUUCCGUUGUCAACUGUGGGUUUGGCUUCUUUGACAUAGGGGGAAAAUGCCCCCUACGUGGUUAAACGUUUUCGUAUACCAUAAAUGCAUGCAUAUUUAUGUUGAGUAGAAUUAUUAUGAAUUUUUGGAUGCUUAAAACGCCACCAUUAUGUGUAAUGAAAAUUUCACUCUAUGUAGUAGAGCCAUGUGAAUGACAUACAUGCAUGAGCUAUGUAAUCUGUAAUUGCAACUUGGAAAUAUGUCUCUUAUGUGGGGAAAUGACUAGAAUCAUGCAAUCUUAAGCAUAAUUGCCAUGUUAUGACUUAGUGAGCAAAAGUGUCAUAAAGGGGAACUUGAACUAGAAAACGGUUGAAACUGCAACUUAGAGACAUAAUGUUAAGCCAUUGUACAUCUGCUAUAUACUCCAUGUAGAGACAUGAUGACAUAGAGAUAGACCUUUGGGACAUUCGAUACAUUCCAUGUUAUUAGACAUGAGAACUGGGUACUUGUGACAGGACAUAUGACUACUUGCUAUUGUGCUCAUUCGCACAUGCUUGUGAGGGUCGCUCCCUACAAGUCGGCACUCCGGAGAUGACCAUCGCGAUUUAUAUUCGCCGUGCGGGAUUCGGCGCCAAAGUGGAUUGCCGUGAGCCAGGCUCAUUCCUAGGGUGGGGAUGAUGACUACCACGGGGCCACUAGGCUCGGCAUCGGCCAGACAGCCUACGGGUGGGUCUCAGGGCCAUAGACAGUCUUCGGGUGGGUCUCUUCGGAUUUGACUUUGAGUAUCCACUAUGACAUGUGGACAGAUGAUGACUUAGUAUAUUGACUGGACAUCGACUAGAAUAGUAAACAACGACAUCUUUACUAAUUGCAUUGAGGACAUCGCAUUGGUUGCAUACCUAUGGGUAUUCAUGUAUACACAUCCAUGUACAUUUAUGUUAUAGUUGCUUACUAUUAUGCCUAUCAUGCUAAGUAGAGACAUCUGGUUAUAGUAAGUUAUACUUUUACUUACCUUUCGCUUUAUUGCUUUUAUAGCUACUUACCACUUUCUUUGUAGCUUUGGGCCUUGUGGUGCAUUCACUGAAGUCAGUAAUUGCCCACUGGGAACUAUUUUUAAUAGUUCUCACGCCUUCUUUUUUGUGGUUUCUUUCAGAGCCUUCUGCACCGGCGGAGGCACGGGAUCGCGGCAAGGGGAUCGCAUAACUAGCUAGCGAGGAGCGGUUCUUUGCCUAGAUGGUUUGCUUUUUCUUUUUGUAGUUGAGAGAGUGAGAGAUUUUGUAUCCAUGUAUAGAGACCACCUAUGUAUCUACUUUUAGCACUUGUAUUUGGAAUUUUCUUUGUAUUACUUUAUGCUUUUAUUAGUGGAUUCCAGCUUUAUGCUCUUUUCUCUAUUGUAGAACUUAGUAUUAUAUCAUGCUCUGAUACUCCUAGUUGUCUUUUAUUACCGCUUUAUUUAUUGUUGUUUUUAGACGCCUUAUAUGUUUUAGACGUAUGGCGGGUCUGGGCACGCGCUGGGCGGGCUUCCGCUGGGUCCCGGGGCGUGACACCCAGGAGGUAGGAGCACGGAUGGAAGUAGCUCUACCCCUGAUAGUGACAGUAGCAAACGGGCACAAGGUUUUGAGCAAAUUAAGAUGCCCUGGAUUCACUUGGACUAUGCAGGGACAAACUUUUCGAACGGACUUGAGAGUGAUCAGGAUCGAAGGCUCUAACAUGGUACUUGGAAUUGAUUGGUUAAAGUCUUAUGGAGUGGUGACUUUCGAUUUCGUAUCCAACUCGGUGGCGAUCAGUAAAGAUGGACAGAAGUUAGAGCUAAAGGGGAUUGCGGAAGGGGCUAGAUUAAGUCUAAUAUCUGCAGCUCAGUGGAGGCAAGAAGCAGAGAAAGGAGAAUGUUAUCUCCGCAGGCACCAAUCAACACCAAAAGAUAAUGAACAGGAUGCUGACCUACUUCCGGAGAUCCAAAGGGUGCUGGAUAAAUUUCAGGAUGUGUUCGAGGAGCCAAGGGAGUUACCUCCAAUCCGCAUUCAAGACCAUAAAAUUCCUCUACAGUCUAACACAGCUCCGAUUAACGUUAGGCCCUAUCGGUACUCGCAUGAUCAAAAAGAGGAGAUCGAAAAACAAAUAAAGGAGUUAUUGAGCCACAAGAUUAUUCAGCGGAGCAAUAGUCCUUUCGCCUCACCCGCUUUAUUGGUUAAGAAAAAAGAUGGGAGUUGGAGAAUGUGUAUAGAUUAUCGCCAGCUUAACAAAUGCACGGUGAAGGACAAAUUCCUUAUACCAAUUAUAGAUGACUUGCUUGAUGAAUUGGGCGGAUCGAAGUAUUUUUCCAAGAUAGAUCUCAGAUCGGCAUAUCAUCAGAUCCGGAUGAAUCCGGGGGACAUUCAUAAAACGGCAUUCCGGACGCAUCAAGGGCAUUAUGAGUUUCGAGUCAUGCCGUCCGGCCUAACGAACGCACCCGCGACGUUUCAAGCCGUAAUGAACUAUACCUUCGAGUCAUACUUGAGGAAAUUCAUCCUGGUUUUCUUUGAUGACAUUCUAAUCUACAGUAAGAACAUUGAGGAUCAUGAACAACAUCUGCGCAUCGCUUUGGAAGAAUUGAGAAAGAAUAAAUUUUACGCCAAACGAAGUAAGUGCUAUUUUGGGCAGAACCAGGUGGAGUAUUUAAGUCACAUAAUAUCUGACGAAGGGGUAGCCACCGAUCCAUCCAAAAUUGAAGCGAUGAUUAAUUGGCCGGUACCAAAAUCUAUGAAGGAAUUGCGUGGAUUCUUUGGACUUACCGGAUAUUAUCGAAAAUGCAUAAAGGGAUAUGGAAAGAUUACCAAGCCUUUGACUGAGUUGUUGAGAAAGGAUCAGUUCGACUAGAAGGAAGAAGCACAAGUAGCUUUUGAAGAAUUAAAGUUGGCUAUGACAAUGGCUCCAGUACUCGCUAUGCCUAACUUUGGUGAACCCUUCACGAUAGAAGCGGAUGCUUGCGGCAUAGGGAUAGGGGCAGUACUGUCCCAAGGAGGAAGACCCAUUGCCUAUUUGAGCAAGGCUAUUAGCGGGAAGCACCUGGGAUUAUCAACUUACGAAAAAGAGUUCUUAGCGAUACUCAUGGCGGUUCAAAAGUGGAAGCAUUAUUUAGGUACAGGUACAUUUGUGAUUAAAACAGAUCAUGAAAGCCUAAAACACCUACUCGAGCAAAGGAUAUCCACCCCGAUGCAGCAGAAGGGCAUGCUUAAGAUGAUGGGGCUUAAUUACACGAUUCAGUAUAGGAGGGGUAGAGAAAAUGCGGCAGCCGAUGCACUAUCCAGAAGAGAAGAAGGGGGAGUUGUAUUGGCAAUCUCAGCGGCAGUACCAACUUGGGUACGACAGGUGGCGGAAAGUUACAAGGGGGAUCCAUAUUGUGAGGGGAUAAUAAAAGAGCUAACGUUGCGGCCAGACACCCCAGGAUAUUACUCCUAUGGCAAUGAGUUGCUACGCUACAAAGGGAGGCUCUAUGUUGGGCAGACUGGACCUAUACGGAAGAAAGUUUUAGAUCAAAUGCAUAAUUCUGCCUUGGGAGGCCACUCCAGAAUCCAGAACACCUAUAGGAGAGUUAAGCAACAUUUUUUUUGGCAAGGAUUAAAAAAGGAUGUGGAAGAUUGGGUCAAGGGGUGCACUGUUUGUGCUCAGAACAAAGUGGAUGGAACACCAUACAGUGGAUUGUUGCAGCCGUUGCCUAUUCCUCACCAAAUUUGGGAGGACGUAAGUUUGGAUUUCAUUGAAUCAUUACCUAAGUCAGAGGGGCGCGAUACAAUAAUGGUUGUAGUUGACCGGCUCACCAAAUAUGCUCAUUUCAUAUCUCUUAAACAUCCCUUUUCAGCAUCGGAUGUUGCUAAGGCCUUUAUGGGAACCAUCUAUAAACUGCACGAUUGUCCCAAGAGUAUCGUUUCCGAUAGAGACAAGAUAUUCGUGAGUCAGUUUUGGAAGAAGCUUUUCCAAUCCAUAGGAACCAAACUGCACAUGAGUUCGGCGUAUCAUCCGGAAACUGACGGGCAAACGGAGAGGGUCAACAGGUGCUUGGAAACCUAUUUGAGGUGCUUAUGUUUUCAGCACCCAAAAAAGUGGCAUUCUUGGUUAGCGCUAGCCGAAUGGUAGUAUAAUACAAACUUACACUCGUCAUUGGGAAUAACCCCAUACGAGGCGUUAUAUGGGCAACCUCCGCCAAAUUACCUGGUGGCCGCUGUGGAUACAGCUACCUCGCAGGAGUUUAAAGGGUGGGCUACAGAGAGAAAGAAGCUGACUAGAGAAUUAAGGGAUCGAUUGCAAAUAGCACAGAGCAGGAUGAAGCAACAGGCAGACAAGCAUAGGGUGGAGAAGGAGUACUCGGUGGGAGAUUGGGUUUACCUUAAACUACAGCCCUAUCGGCAAACCACGGUGGUGAUAAGGAAAAAUAUUAAGCUUUCUUCAUGAUUUUUUGGUCCCUUUAAGAUACUGGAGCGUAUCGGGCCAGUCGCGUAUAGGCUAGAGUUACCAGAAGGGUCAAGGAUUGACCCGGUGUUCCAUGUUUCUCUGUUGAAGAAGAGUCCCCCAUCUUCAAUUCAGGCAUCUCUGACGGCACCAUCUAUCGGGGAAGAGGAUAAGUUGCGGGUCGAACCAGAGGAAAUACUUGAGAGGCGGACGGUGACGCGCGGAAACAUGGCCGCGACCGAAGUUUUGGUGAAAUGGGCAAAUCUUCCAAGGGAGCUCGCAACAUGGGAAGAUCGUGGGUUCCUCAAAAGCCAAUAUCCAUCUUUUGAUCCUUGAGGACAAGGAUCGACUUAAGUAGGGGGGAUUGUUACACUUGUCAAGUAGUAAAGGAGGAUUAGGAGCAGUAGUAGGAGGUUUAGCUAAAAUAAUGAGAAGAAAGGAGGCUUAGCUUUUCUCUGCUUCAGGUCUCCGGUUGGGGGAAGCGUCGGCCGUCAGCUUGGGAGCGUGGAGGGCGUCGGUAGGGUGAAGGUCGCCGGUGGAGGAGAAAAGGGGUGAGAGAAGCGGGGAGCGAAGAGGUCGAUCCGAGCAAGCCGACAAGGGACUUAGAGCGUUCGACGAGGCGACUCAAGUUCCAGACGGUUCUGGCGGAUUCGGGCGUAUGGCGGAUUCGGGCACAAGGAUGGGAGCGACUGAUCCAAUAUGUCUUGGGAGCGGGCCGGAGAAUAAGCCCAUGUGGGAAUUUGGGCAGCAGAUAGUAGGUUUAGGGAGUUCAAUUAGAAUUAGGGUUUGUUUUAGGUGAAUAAAAGGGGCAGCGUGUAACAGAAGGUUUUUUUUAUGCGAAUUAAUGAAAUUUUCUUCUUCCUCAUCAACUCCUAAUUUCUCUUAAUCUUUCUUCUUCUUCUUAAUUUCCCCAUUCAUCUCCUUCCCUCUGUCUUCCCCCCUCUAUUCUCUCUUCAUCUUCUUUAUUAGAAUAGCUCGAUUCUGAUCUGAUUAAUCCGAGUCAGGCAGUUACGGGAACCAUCAUCCUUGACGCCGUCCUUCGUCUCAGCGAGAUUUCAUCAUCGACGGGUUGCGCCGAGUCAGGUACGUAACACCCACAUAUAGCGACACUUUCAUAUAGUGUCGCUAAUUUAGCCAGCAACACUUUUUUUUAUCUGUACCUAUAUUUAAAAGUGUCGCUAUAUAAUAUUUUUGUUAUAGUGACGCGACCGCAAACAGUACUUUUACUAAAUUAAUUUUCAAACCAAAUUAAGCAUGCCCGCUAACUUGCCACUCCUUUUUUGCCCUAUUUAUACAUCCCUAUGUAGCGUGGACAUAUCACACACUCACACACACCCUCCCUCAAUAUUAGCUAAAGAGAUUUAUAACUAAAGGUGUCUGUGGACCGAGUCGGGUCGGGAUAGUUAAUAUACUAUAUCCGUACCCUAAAAAAAAUUGGUUAGAAAAAAAAAUAUAUAUAUAUACCCUAUCCAUUUAACUUCAGGUCGGAUCCGGAUCUGGAUAUUUAAGUUACUAAUAUACCCGUCGGGUCUAUUUGGGCGGAUCUAGGUAGUGACUACCCUCCGUAUACUAUCCCUUUAAGAUCGGGUACUGGUCGGAUCUAAAUCGGGUACGGGUACCCGUAUACAUAUAUUUUUUUAUAAACUUUAUUAAAUAGUAUGUGGACAAACUAUAAAUCUUUCCUUAUAAAGAGAAUAUAAGUUAUAAUAAUUAUUAAUAUUACAUACUAACAUUAAAAACAAUAAAAAAAUAAAGAAGAAUUUGAAAAUUUACUAAAUAGAAUAUUCAUUAGAAAAAACUAAGUUGUCGACUUUGAUUGGAAAAGGAAUUUGGAAAAAACUUACUUGUGCAAUGCCUAUGAGGAGUAAUAUCGCUAAUGAUGAUAACGAUGUAAAUAUUAGUUCAUAAAAAACUCAUAGGCGAAAAUGAAACAAAAAAAAUAAUAAGUAAGAAAUAAAGAGUAAAAAAAAAAAAGAAAAAAAAAGGAGUAAAAGAGCGGCUAAUGUUUCAUUGUUUCACUAAGAUGAAAAUUUUUAGAAACCCUUCAUAUAUAAAUUCUAUUAAAAUUGAUCCUUCAACUUUAAAAGUUCAAAUCUUUUUUAUUUACUAUCGGAUAUUUCAUCGGGUCCGGAUCCGAGUCCGGAUUUGAAAACUAUUCCGGACCCUACCCAUUUAAAAGUUGGGUUCGGGUCGGGUCCAAAUCGGGUAUGGGUAUAAAAUAUCCAGACCUAUGCCCGAAACUUUAAUGGGUAAUUUUCUUUACCCGUAUACUAUCCAUUUUUUAUCGGGUCUGGUUCGGAUCCGGAUAGGGUCCGGAUAGGGUCCGGAUAGGAUAUGGUAUAUCGAAUAUUUUGGACAGCUUUACUUAUAACAAAGAUGUCUCACCCUCGUGCCACCGGCUUUGAUACCACAUGUGGAUAUAACCACAAUUCCAAAAACACAUGUGAUAGAAAGAACACACCCAUCACACUUAAGGGCUCAAGUAUAGCGCUUACGAAUUUCAAUCUGACUCAAUUCAUCUGAACAUUAGAUCUAUUAUUGGGUCUUUUACCGUUAGGUUUAUUGUGGACCGCAACCUCACUUAACUUAUUUAGCUCACCCAAUUCAACUUACUAAUCUUCUAAGUAUGUUGUUAUGGUACAAAAAGCUGAAUAUAUUUUAAUCAACAAUAAAUAAUCAACAGUAGGGACCGUGCGUAGUGGGUCCCUGCUAGAAUUAUUUAGCAUGUGCUACAGGCACUUACUGACAUGCCUAGCUAAUUUAAUAGCUGGUCCCCGUGUUAAUGGUUUGGGCCAAAUCAUGUGCCUUCUAAACAAUUGGAGAAGUCAAAAAUGGGUUUUUAUUGAAUUGAUUAACCAAAACCUAAUCCAUCAAUUUUUUUUCUUAAUUAUAUAUAGAAUAUUAUGUCGAAAUGAGUCAUGAGUUGUUAGCACAAACUUCUAAUUUAAUGCAAGAUGACUUAAUGGGUAUUAAAAAUAAGGUUAUUUUUGAAUAACGGAGAUAUAUCCGAAGGUAUAUUGGAAAUAAAAAAUAGGAUUAAUUACAUACAAGUUCCUAUAAAUAUAGUAAAUUGUAAAUAUAUGUACAAAAUUCAAUUUUUAUAUAUUGUCCCUACAAAAGUCCUAAUUAAUAUUUUCAAAAAUAUUCUUACUGUUAAAAUUUGUUAGAAAAUUUUAUUUAACUAUAGGUUAAAUACUUAACCCUGCUUAGUUUAUGAGAUAAUUUGACAUUUUUACUCCUUUUAUAUUAUACUGUUGUGAUGGCAAAAUUGUAAAUAUAAAUAGUUCUCUAAUGGUGACAAAUCAGAAGGUAUAUUUAAAAAUAUUAGAACUUUUGUAGGAAUAAUAUAUAAAAGUUGAAUUUUUUUAAAAUAUAUUUAUAAUUUAAUAUAUUUGGAGGGACCUGCAUGUAUUCAAGCCUAAAAAAUAUAGAAGUAUAUAAAAUAUUUUAAAAAUUUUUAGACGUAUGUAGGUAGUUAUACUUUUUUUUUAACUAAAUUUUCAAAGGUCGGAAUUAAAUACUCCUUUCAAACAGGAGAGUAAUCAAAUCUACAUUUUUAUUUGAUAAAAAAAAAACACAAUUGUAGAAAAGUCAUUGGUGGAAGAGUCAUCCCAAAACAUGCGAGUUCACAUGGUGUGAAUUCUCGAUUUUUCCACGUGAUGUUAUGAGGCUUUCAAUUUCUUUUUCACUUUUUUUUUUUAAAAAAAAAUCCAAUCCUUAUCUCGAAUUAUUUACCAUCCAAAGCCGUUGAUCGAAGCCGGCCUUUUCAUAGUCUUAAAAGGAAAAAACGAAGAGCUUUCAAACUAAAAUAUAAAAUGUUGCUUUUAGCUACCAUAUUAUCAUAUUAGGUUUUAAUAUGUCUCUAGUUAAUUUGGAGUUAAAAUGGGACACGUACUGAUAUAUUUGUGACGUCCCACUUUUCAAGAGUUCAUCCAUUCUAGCUAGAACUAUUACUGUAGUCCUAACACGCUUAAUUCUUUUAUUCAUUUCUCGAAUCUGACCAUCACUCAAAAUACUAUAAUCGGAUUAACACUAGUUUUUAACCCUAUUAUAUAUUAUAUAUAAGAUUACCUGGGGCCGACCUUUUUAAGUCCUGACGUCUCCGUCAAGCUCAAACUCACAAAUAUUAGACGAUUUGAAACUCAUAUCGCUAGUCUUAACCGACCUUGUGGGGAAACCGCACUCUGCUCAUAACAGUCAUUAGCAUGAGAGACGUCUAGCUCUUCCUGCUGUUUAAUCUGGCUCAACCGAGAUUCAUCUCGCACUUUCGGCUGGUAAUUAUUUCUGAUACCAACUGUAACGCCCCCUUCCUAUGGGAUCACCCAUUAUAGAAUUGCUCAAGUAUUAGCACGCUUAACUUUCUUAAUCUUUUAGAUCUAUCUACCAUUCAAAAUGUCAUAGGUGGGUUAAAAAUUUUAGUCCUAUUAUAUUGUAUAUAUAAAAUUGUGGAAAAACUUCAAAAAAACCCCCUGUGGUUUCAUUGUUUCUCACUUUAGUACCCUGUCGUUUAAAGUGUAUCAAUUUGCCCUCAUGUGGUUUCGUUUUUAUCUUUUCGGUAGCUUUUUCGUUAAUAUUUCAUUAAAUUAUAUACAAAAAACUUUAUAUACCCAUCUAGAUUUAUCAAGUAUUCACUUUAGUACCCUUUAAUUUUAACUUUAUCACUGAUUUAAGAAAAAAAAUAAUAAAAUUGAUAAGAAAAAGAGAAAAAAGAAACCACAGGGGGGCAAAUUGAUACAUUUUAAACAAUAGAGGGGCAAAGUGAGAAACUACGAAACCACAGAGGGGUUUUUGAAGUUUUCCUUAAAAUUAUUUGGGUUCUCACAAUUUUUAUGUUGUACAUCUUUGCUUCCUGGCCAGAGCUUUCGCUCCCCCACACAGUAGGGCGAUGAAAGCUCAGAUAUAGCGAUCGACAAAAUAGAUAUGCAGUAUCAAUUUCGUCCAACUUCUAAUUAAUCCAGCUUCUCCCGUUGAUAAAAAGAUUCAUAGUUUUUCUUGGAUUAAUUCUACAAAACUAAGAUCUUCUAGUGAAGAUCAUGACCUAGCUUUCUAAAAGUUCUACUAAGUAUGGCCUUGUUUGUUAACAAGGUGAGUAAAAAUACUAAUUAAUUUUAUAUUAUAAAGAAUUUUUUAAAAAAUGUUAUCUAUAGGAUUAUACAUCUAAUACACUUAGAUUCAAAGGUUCAUCAUACUUCUUUAAGGUUUUAGUAAAAAUAAACAAAUUAUAAGACAAGUGAACAGAUCGGCCACAAAAAGAAGAUCAGGCAUAAAUUUUACACCUAUGUUAUAGUUGUACAAGUAGUAUUAUUUAAAAUAUCAUAAAACGAUGUUUUUACCCAUCGCAUUACAAACCACGACGGUAAACAGUAUUUGUACUAAAUUUUUUGUUUUUUUUGAGAGAUGUACUAAAUUAAUUUUCAAACCAAAUAUUAAGCAUGCCCACUAACUUGCCACUGAUCCUUUUUUGCCCUAUAUAUACGUCCCUAUGUCGUGUGGCCAUCUCACACACACACACACACACACACCUCCACCUCAAUAUUAGCUAAAGAGAAUUAUAACAAAGAUGUCUCACCCUCGUUAUCUUCUACUGCCCUUGAAUUUGAUCACCAUCACCUUAGCCUUGCUCUCUCAAAGAUCUCAAGCCCAGCUGAGCCCCUCCUUCUACGACUGCACCUGCUCCGACGUGUCGGCGAUCGUUCGCAGCACGG